ACUAAUACCAUCACUCACAGUGCAGUGAGACUGUGACCGGGUUGUUGGGACAGGGAUUUUUGUCUUACAAUGGCAUUUGCUGUGUGUGUGUGUGUCUGCAGAAAGUGGUGGUGCUGAUGCCAAAAAUGAGGACAGCGAGGGAUGUUGGACAGCAAGAGUGCUCCUGCCCUCCAGGUAUGUGGUCAGAGUUUUUUCUCGCCCCAUCCCGCCCCCUUUAUGUCCCCAGAUCUUUAUUUUAAUCACAUACGCCUCAUAAUCCCAAUUUUCCAAAUGCUGCGUCUCUGUUCCUCACUGACAUGUUAAACCGCCGC
rnacentral:lncRNA from 1 species